rnacentral:lncRNA from 1 species
CUGAGGUGGAAGAGAGGUAUGACAGUCAGGCCUGGCUCUGCGUUCCCAGGUGUGUACCUCACUGGCUUGUGAUAGGGGCCUAGGAGAGCCAUUGGGCCACGCUUCCCCUGAGUAGGUGCCAAUUACAGACAGACUUGCAGGGACUACCCGCAGUGGAUUCUGCAGUAAGAACAGAAUCCAGGGAACCUUUUCUGAGACCCAAGCCACAUAACUCCUCUGUUGUUAGAGUUAUGGAUUAUCAUGCACUAGAAUGCCAACUCCACAAGGCAGGGAGUUCUCUCCAUCCUUCACACAUAGAAUACUGCCUGUCAUAGAGUACAAGUUCCAUAAAUAUUUGUGGGAUGAACGAAUGAGUCAUUACCACUAGCUUUUCAUUAGUGGACACUCCUAGGCAUCAGGCUCUGUGCUACAUCCUUUAAGUAUAGUAUUUUUCAUUCUUACCAAGCCCUGUUAGGAGGGUGCACUUUUUCCAUUUAUCUAGAAAUGGAAAGAGGUGCAGUAUAGACCUCCACCCCCACCCUUGUCAGAUAGUUAACAAGAUGCUAAGCCCUAGAUUCCAUUUCAGAUUGUGG